GACGAACGCUGGCGGCGUGCUUAACACAUGCAAGUCGAACGGAAAGGCCCUGCGUUUGUUGGGUGCUCGAUUGGCGAACGGGGGAGUAACACGUGAGUAACCUGCCCUUGUCUUUGGGAUAACUUCAGGAAACUGGGGCUAAUACCGGAUAGGAGCUCCUGCUGCGUGGUGGGGGUUGGAAAGAUUCGGCGGUUGGGGAUGGACUCGCGGCUUAUCAGCUUGUUGGUGGGGUAGUGGCUUACCAAGGCUUUGACGGGUAGCCGGCCUGAGAGGGUGACCGGCCACAUUGGGACUGAGAGACGGCCCAGACUCCUACGGGAGGCAGCAGUGGGGAAUAUUGCACAAUGGGCGGAAGCCUGAUGCAGCAACGCCGCGUGCGGGAUGACGGCCUUCGGGUUGUAAACCGCUUUCGCCUGUGACGAAGCGUGAGUGACGGUAAUGGGUAAAGAAGCACCGGCUAACUACGUG
rnacentral:rRNA from 1 species